GAAGAAACAAAUUGUGCAGGGGUAGGUGUAUCAACAUUGUUGGACGAGUCUUGGUUUUCUGCUGAUAGCUUUUUACACCGACUAUGUAAGGAUUUCUUUUUGUUGGUGCAAGAUGCCUUGGUGGUUGAUGGAGAUCUUUUGAUGUGGACCAGGAGUCUCAAAGAACUGCUUGAGACCAGUCUGGGAUGGGAGUUCCAGCAGAACAGUGCAGUGGAUGGAAUGUACUUUGAAGACGAUGACGAGUAUGCUCCUGUUGUUGAGAUGAUGGAUGACACCAACUAUAAUGAAGCUGAAGCAGCUUAGACCAGAAAAAUAGAACCCUCCCUUCACUGUGUUUAACAAAUAUCAGUAU
rnacentral:misc_RNA from 1 species